GACGAACGCUGGCGGCGUGCUUAACACAUGCAAGCCGAACGGAAAGGCCCUGCUUUUGUGGGGUGCUCGAAUGGCGAAAGGGUGAGUAACACGUGAGUAACCUGCCCUUGACUUUGGGAUAACUUCAGGAAACUGGGGCUAAUAACGGAUAGGAACUCCUGCUGCAUGGUGGGGGUUGGAAAGUUUCGGCGGUUGGGGAUGGACUGGCGGCUUAUCAGCUUUUUGGUGGGGUAGUGGCUUACCAAGGCUUUGACGGGUAGCCGGCCUGAGAGUGUGACCGGCCACAUUGGGACUGAGAUACGGCCCAGACUCCUACGGGAGGCAGCAGUGGGGAAUAUUGCACAAUGGGCGGAAGCCUGAUGCAGCAACGCCGCGUGCGGGAUGACGGCCUUCGGGUUGUAAACCGCUUUCGCCUGUGACGAAGCGUGAGUGACGGUAAUGGGUAAAGAAGCACCGGCUAACUACGUG
rnacentral:rRNA from 1 species